AUGAACAUGGAGCCUGCUCCGGGGGAUUAGUGGCGAACGGGUGAGUAACACGUGAGUAAUCUGCCCUUCACUCUGGGAUAACCUCCGGAAACGGAAUCUAAUACCGGAUAUGACGCUCGGAGGCAUCUCCUAUGCGUGGAAAGAAUUUCGGUCAAGGAUGGACUCGCGGCCUAUCAGGUAGUUGGUGAGGUAACGGCCCACCAAGCCUACGACGGGUAGCCGGCCUGAGAGGGUGACCGGCCACACUGGGACUGAGACACGGCCCAGACUCCUACGGGAGGCAGCAGUGGGGAAUAUUGCACAAUGGGCGCAAGCCUGAUGCAGCAACGCCGCGUGAGGGACGACGGCCUUCGGGUUGUAAACCUCUUUUAGCAGGGAAGAAGCGAAAGUGACGGUACCUGCAGAAAAAGCACCGGCUAACUACGUGCCAGCAGCCGCGGUAAUACGUAGGGUGCAAGCGUUGUCCGGAAUUAUUGGGCGUAAAGAGCUCGUAGGCGGUUUGUCGCGUCUGCUGUGAAAACCCGAGGCUCAACCUCGGGCCUGCAUUGGGUACGGGCAAACUAGAGUGCGGUAGGGGAGAUUGGAAUUCCUGGUGUAGCGGUGGAAUGCGCAGAUAUCAGGAGGAACACCGAUGGCGAAGGCAGAUCUCUGGGCCGUAACUGACGCUGAGGAGCGAAAGCGUGGGGAGCGAACAGGAUUAGAUACCCUGGUAGUCCACGCCGUAAACGUUGGGAACUAGAUGUGGGGACCAUUCCACGGUCUCCGUGUCGCAGCUAACGCAUUAAGUGCCCCGCCUGGGGAGUACGGCCGCAAGGCUAAAACUCAAAGGAAUUGACGGGGGCCCGCACAAGCGGCGGAGCAUGCGGAUUAAUUCGAUGCAACGCGAAGAACCUUACCAAGGCUUGACAUAUACCAGAACCGGCCAGAAAUGGUCGACUCUUUGUACACUCUUAUACGGGUGGUGCAGGGUUGUCUUCACCUCGGGUCUGGAAAUGUUGGGUUAAUUCCCGCACCAAGCCGCACCCCUCUUUCUAUGUUGCCACCACGUCUAUGGUGGGAACUCAUUCACACUGCCGGGGUCAACUCGAAUGAAAGUGGGGAUGACAUCAAAUCAUCAUGCCCCUUAUGUCUUGUCCUUCACUCAUGCUACGAUGGCCGGUACAAAGGGCUGAACUACCAUACCGUGAAGCGAAUCCAAUCAAGCCGGUCUCAUUUCAGAUUGAAGUUCUGCAACUUCAACCUCAUGAAAUCAGAUUCGAUUCUAAUCUAAUAUCAGAUACGCUGCGCUGAAUACAUUCCCUGCCCUUGUACUCACCGCCCCGUCCAGUCAUGAAAGUCAGGUAACACCCCAACCCGGUGGCCUAACCCUUGUGUAAGGAGCCGUCCAAAUGUGGGAAUCGGUGAUUAGGACUUAGGUCCUAAACAAGGUA
rnacentral:rRNA from 1 species